AGAACUGUAGGUAAAGCGAGAAUAGACAAUGUGAGUAAAAAAAAAAACCUAGGUCAUGUACGUAAUGGAAGGAGACACAAGGUCCCCAAGGGAUGCUUUCUGGUUAAUCCACUUGUGGCUACCAGUGGGAAUACACAUGCAAUAAAAGGCACUAGCAUGUCUGCAGCUAAACCAUAAACAUUUGAAUCUAUAUGGAACAUUAGGUUCCCAUCCAGACAUUAGAGAAAUAUAAUUUCAAUCUGAAGCUCGUACGCCACAGAAGUCAGUGCCAGGGCACAAAGAUAAGCCACUAAGCUAAAAAAAAUACACCACAGAUUCUUACAUAAGCAGAACAUUUCCAGCAGAUCCCUAUUGUUUUUUUUAAUUUAUUUAUUUGGUGUUGUAUUUUUAUAUUACACAUCCAAAAAUCAAGCAGUGCAAAGCAGGCAUCCUUAAGGCAUUAAGCCAAAAAUCUCUGGCCAUUAUUUUUUUGCAAGCUGUUUAACAAUCCAAUAUGGCAGAGGAACUAGAGUGAUGAAAAAGAAAAAUAUAAGAGAGAAAGUCACCUGAUGAGAACAUUUUAGAAUAUUUUGAGACACGUGAACUGUCACGUGUCUACACCCACUUGGAUCUCCCCAGAGGAUCCACCCGCAGCUGUACAUGCCCAUGUGUGAGCUGUCACAGAUGACUGCUCAAAGCACUUCCAGAGGAACUGCACGAGAACACACAUGAGAGAGAGCAGACAGCAUGCUACCUGUACAAGCGUUCAUAACCACAUGUCCAGUGACAGACGUGUUCAACAAUACGCAACAUUCACAGAAGUCUUAAGGACUGGAGCAGCUAGACUGCUUCACAAAUCCAUUCAUUCAACGGUGUGGAGAAAAUCAAUUGGAUGUUGAGGGAAACAAAAGGCAGAGCUGAUAUAUAGGCUAUACAAAAAAGACAGUCGAUAAUAAGCAGCAAGACUGAAAAUGCUGAAUUUCACUGUGAGCUCAUAAAAAAUACAUUUUUGUUUCCUUGUGUAUCAUGUUUAGGCAGUGGAUUUUGAUCAUUUGUUCUGGUCUAUCUGAAACUCAGUCAGUGAUCAAUGGCAAAUUAUGAUCUCUACUUGGACAAUACAACUUUAACACACUGUGCUGUACUACCUCCAGUUAUUUCAGCUUGCAGCAUUGUGGUUAACUUUAAUUUCAAACCACUUAAAUCAGUUACAAUUUUGUUUCACUUUGCAGUUUGGUUAGACAAGUUUUUUUUUCUCUCGCACUCAAAAACUUACAAACCAUGUGUGGACAAAUCAGUAGACCAUUACCUAUGUGCAACAUGAAGACAGAACACCACAACUCAUAGCUGAAAUGUUCACUAACAACUUGUUGACUUAUUGUUGAGGAUACAAAUGAAAAGUGCUACAUUAGAAAUAUUUUAUUUAAUUAAAGAUGAUAAUUAUCAAAUAGUCAUUUGUUUCCCUUAGUCUCUAUUAAUGCACUUAACUAGCAAAGUAUCUCACCAUACGUUAUGUUACCUAACAUUUUAGCCUUGUCAAUUAGGUUUCCGGGCAACCAAUACAUAGGACUGGGUAGUAUAUUGGCAUUUUACUUGCUCAGUGGGCUAUAUAAUGAAUUUGUCAACCCCUGUGUACACACAUGAAAAUGGCAGGAUUGCUCCUUAUUGCUAGGCUUCUAAGCAUAUUGAGUUUUUGUGGGCCAAAACUGUUUUUAGGCAAAAGAAACUGCUAACACAUUUAUAAUUACAGUGCAUCUGAGGUAAAGGUACACUGGCUUGCUGUAUAGGGGAGCUGAAAGCUCCAAAUAAAUUAAAAAUACACUGCAUGACUAGCUUGUUUGUUCAUGCAAUUAUCAAAUCAGACAAUUGUCUAACUUCAGCACAGUGCAUAAAAUCAUGCAGAUACAUGUCAAGAGCUUCAGUUAAUGUUCACGUCAAACAUCAGAAUGGAGAAAAAAAUGUGAUCUCAGUGAUAUUGACCAUGGCAUGGUUGUUGGUGAAAGUCAGGCUGGUUUGAGUAUUUCAAAACUGGAUGAUCUCCUGGGAUUUUCAUGCGCAACAGUCUCUAGAGUUUACACAAAAUGGUGUGAAAAACAACAACAACAACAACAACAACACCCAGUGAGAAGCAGUUCUCCUGGAAGAAAGACCUUUUUGAUGAGAGAUAUCAGAGAAGAAUAGCCAGACUGAUUGAAUCUGACAGGAAGUAUACAGUAACUCAAAUAACUUGCCUUUACAACCAGAAACACUUGAUGUGGAUGGGCUACAACAAACGUAGACUGGACAGUUGAAGACUGGAAAACAAUACUUGGUCUUUUUCCAGUCUUCUCCUUUCCUUUCCAUUCUCAUGAGAUUCUAAUCAAAUAAAUUGUAAACGUUUCCACUCUAGUCUACAGUUUUUAAACAACAUCCAUACUUUGGAGUUUUAAGCAGAGGGAAUGUUCACUUGCUUUCAAAUAAUUUCUGUGGAGCCACAAUUAAAAUCUCUUGUGCUGUUCUCACAAUCAGACUUACAGCAUGGACAUGAAUCUAUACAAGGACUAGGAAUGUAUUUAAAGGAAGGUGUUAACGCCAGGGCACUAUGGCUCUUUGGUAGGCCUUUGUGGUAUUUUACAUCCCAUCAACAACACUUCUCAGAAAGCUUGACCAUGAACAAUGGAGUGGUCGUUCUGCAGUAGAUUAGGGUAGUGAAAACAAUACCAGCCUGUUAAAUGCACCGCGAGACACUGUUCUGACCUUGCGAAGGACAAUGAAGGCAAUAGACAGAGCCAAUAACACGCUAGUGGAAUCAUAGCAGAAAUAAAACACGGUGUGUUCCAGAAAAUGUUUGAAUCAAGAUGUAUACCACAAUUUGAAAUGGAAAGAUCACAGCUUGUCUGGCACUGGGGUUGAUUGAGACCAAUCAAGGAAAUUGUGAAGGCUUUGUGGAUAUGACUUCGAAGGGAAAAAAGAAGAGGAAAAGAAGUGAUAGAGGACCUCUUAAAAUGAGUAGUCUGUACACAUAUACUUCCUCUCCAAGCAGUUUUAUAAUAGAUUUCUUUGGCCACUGUUCAAGCGUAAAUAAAAGCAAGCAGAUUACCUCUUCCCAAGGUGCUCUGCUUUACUGAUGAAUAGAUGUCAAUAAUGAGUCACUUUCAUUUGUUCGAUAGCACACCCCGUGCAUGCACCACUAAAUCUGAAAUAAAGCAGCUGCUGCUUUGAACUGAGGUGCGUGUUGCAAGGCUAAAUGAGUUUAUAUGGGUUUGUAGAGGUGCUUGGGGUGAGUUCUAUUUAUGUUCAGGGAUUAUUUGUCUCUUCAUAUCAUCAGACUGAUAGCAUCUUCAAUAAGAGCAAAGACUCCAGUCAUUUUAUGACUUAGAGAUUGUUGCCUGUGAUUUAAAGGGAACAUGCUAGAACACAUUGUUGCAGAAAAAAAGGAACAGACAGAAAAUAUGCAUCAUUAAAAGGCUGUCAAAGCAUCCUGUCUUGUCUCAAAAUGCCCAGUGCCGUCACUUGAGCUGGAUGAGGAGGAAAAGGCUGCUCUUAAAAACACUGCAUUGGAGACAGUUUUGAAAGCUGUUGUUUUAUCAAACAACAUCUGUGGAACUGUCGUCGCAAAGCAAAUAGGGCCUUUGACAGCAGACUGUUUUCUCAUUUCUUAAAGAACCCUGAAAUUCUGUUUAAUAAUUAAUUUUAUAUCAGUUUCUGAAGGAGUGAGUUGUUUGUUCUACAACCUAUUCCAUUUCUCAACAGAUCUUCAGUACAAUCCAGAUUUUUUUGGCUUGGAGUACAGGGAUAGAUUCCAAAAAGUCCAAUGAGGAGAACUAACAGGACACAUUUUCUCUAAAAAUGAAAAAGGCUGGGUGGGAAGGAUGGCAUACGUUCUCUCCCCUUUCAGUCCAGAGACACUAGCCAAUCGUGGGCAUCCGUGAGCUCAUGCAUGCAGAAGGGGGUAGAGAGCAACUUCCUCCAAGUGUGUUAUGCUGGCCGAGUGACAUAGCAUGAGCAGCAGUCCGAAAAGAUGCGGUUGGCAGUUUCACAUGUCUUGAAGGAAGCAUGUGUUGUAUGAAAGGGGUGAGCUGGGAUUUGUGGGAAUUGGCCAAAACUAAAUUAGGGAGAAAAAUAGUGGGAAAAAAUUAAAAAAGAAAAAAAUCAAAGCCUGUUCUUGAGUCAAAUGUACAGUCAUUUUAAUUUGGACAAAAUUACAAUUUCAGCCAGCUAACAAUUAGCAUACUUUGACCACAAGUGGCAGAUUUUGCAUUCUUGGAAGUGAAUAAUAGUAGUACUGCAGUACUGAUUUUGGCCAGCAUGGUGGCGCAGUGGGUAGCGAUGUUGCCCCACGGGUUCAGGAUUUGAUCUUGAGCUCAACUUACUGUCUGUCCGGAGUUUCCCAUGCUCUCCUCAUGUCUUUGUGGGUUUGCUACAGGUUCUCUGGUUUUCUCCCAACUCUCAAAAUAUGCCAUUAGGUGGAUUGGCUAGAAUAAAUUGUCCCAGGGAAACACCAGUUGCACAAUACACAAUAAUCAUUCACACCGAGCGGCAAUUUGGUGUAGAAAAUCCACCCACCUGCAUGUUUUUUGGAGGUGGGAGGAAGCCAGAGAACCCAGAGGAAACCUACACAAACCUGCGAAACUCCACAGACUCAAUAAACUGGGCUUAGGAUUGAACCAGAGACCCUGCAACACAACCCGCUGCACUACUGGACCAGAAUAUUACUUUUUUAAAUGUAUUUAUUUUUUUAUACUGUACCCUUCAGGGCGUUUAUUACAAACGGUAUUACAUGGCAUAACACUAUUAGCAGACCAGAUGAUUAGAAUUUUAUUACUUUUCCUGAUGCUGCUGUUUGAUCAUUUAAUGCUUCAUGUUUUGUGACAAUUUUCCUGUUUUUGCUUCAUUUUACGUCUAAAUAUGCACACUCAAUAUGGAAUAUAAAAGAAGUUGUUGCUGAAAGAGUUGCUGAAUUAAAAAUCAUGCUGUUGCUUCCUCUUAUGUGUUUUCUUUUUCUUCUUCCAGGUUUUUCAAAGUGUCACACUGCUCUUCGCUUUUAUGUAUAAGCCUAUUACCUCUACCCUUGAACGCUCUUGCUUUGGAAAAACAUGUGCAUAUUAAAUGUACUUGUGUCUGUACCAUUCAAGCCCCUCCUUCAUGGCCACCACUUAGAGAAGGUUAGCUAGAGGUCCUUUUGCUCAUUUUCAAAUGGCUCUGAUUUAAUCAGGAAUAUGUAUGACUUAAUAAAACCACCACACAAACAGAUUACAGCUGAUUACUAUUAAAUGCUAACAAGGUAGAACGCUUAGUAAUACUUACCAAUAACCUUUUUAUUUAGGGUAAUGGGAUGUGACAGAUUCAUAUCAGCCAGUUAGUGACUAAUAUCGCAUUUUAUUUUUCACCGUAUAUAGUUUCAAGAGAAAUUAAAUAAUUAGCAAUUCACAGACACCCUCUGUGGACCCCAUGUGGAGACCUCACAGGAAUUUACACCAGUGGUUAAAUGAAAAUUUUAUUUAUUUAACGUGAUGCAUGCAAACAUUUUGUUAGACCGGACUAAAUGAUUGCAUUAGUAUUAGGAAACUAUCCAUUGUCAUAAAUGUAUGCUUUUAGCAUUGCUUAGGCAUUAAAAAGAGGUAGCUGUACUGUUUAAAUGAUUAGUAUUUGGUCAUUUGACAUGCUGCUAUCCUAAAAAAAAGGUGGUUACUUUUCACAUUGUGUAGUUCCUUGUAUUUUUCACAUAUAUAGUAUUUAUUUGCAGCAAAAUUGGCCUGCCCUCAUUUUUAGGGUAGCAUGUCCUCCUUCUGAGUUGCUAUCAAAUAGUGCAAAUGUAUUAUUAACAGUUUCUGUUGUGUACAGUAUAAAAUCACUGGUUUCACUUGCUUUUAUAUAGCAAACCAAGUCAAAGUAUAUUUUCUGCAUCUUGGCUCAACACUUAAAAUUGCUCUCACUGGAGACAUUAACAUGAAGAAUGCAAAAAAUUAAAUAUAUAUAAAAUAACCUUCAAACUGUGUUUCAAAGCAGCCAGUGCAUCAAGGCCACAUACUGUAGGAGUGUAGCAGCAGGAGUGUUACAUCAGUGUGGUAGUGUGUGUGUGUGUGUGUGUGUGUGGGCAGGGGAAGGGGAUGGGGGUGGGAAUAUUGUGGUGUUCAUCUUCUCUGCAUCUGUAGCCUUGGAGCAGCUGAGCCAUGGCGUGACCCAAUAACCACACAUGUUUGCCCUGAAGACAUUUCUGCUUCCUCUCCCAGUCACUGUGAGAACCAUCAAGCUACCAAAAUCAAAAUACUACCAUUUUUUCACAAGGCAAAUCAAUAAAAUCAAUGCAUUCUGAUUACUUCUGUUAUACCUUCCAUCCUGCCUUCACUAACCUAAAGGUGAAAAGCCUGUUAUUUAGAUACACAAUAUGGUACUGCCUAAGCCAAAAUCUUGCAGUGGUCUGAUAUUCUGCCUUUGAGUCAAGCCAUGCUCAAAAUACCAAUGUGGCUGUCGAUCAAAAUAAUAACCUCAAUCAUACACUAUGUACUUGGACUUGUAUUUAUUUAAGGUAUUUUUAGGAAACAGCUUUGCUGGUAAGCUCUUCUAUACUCUCGGGGUACUAAACUGUACCUUUCCUUCUCAGUGUAGUGGUACCUUCAAGGCUACAUCUUUUGCACCUUUAUUAUGGAUCUUUUACCUAGAUAGGUGCAUUUAGUGUACUAGAGGUGUAGCACAAUUCCACUAGCUGUAUCUGUUAACUCCAUUUACCAAGCAGCAUCAUAGCCUACAAACAUGGCCGCCAAGGACUACACUUCCCAACCCACACACUCACUAUCACGGUCACGGUCUCCUGACUACUGAUAACACUCACCUGUUUUCAAUCACUCACAUGUAAAUACAGACUCCAAACAAAGCACACACGCAUACAUGCACACACACGCGACAUGAAGUAUCAAGACUUGUAUCUCAUAUCCAGACAGACUUCUUGGCAGCAUGUAGACUAACUGAUCACAUGCUACUGUACUAACAUAUAUAUUAGUACAGUGUGUGAGUGUCAGGCGGCAGGGAUGGACACAAGUGCAGAAAACCUCUUUGGAAGAAGUGUGACGGUGGCUGCUGUGUUAUCAUCCACACAGGCUGACAAACCUCUCCCUAGGCCCCAAGGGGCUGACACAGAUGUCCUUGUAUAUCUUCUGCACACAGGGCCUAGAGAGAGAGGAGCAGAAGAGUCCUCUUUGGUGUGAGAGGAGCUCUGGCUGAUCGUUGGUCUGCGUUUUUGACUCGGCACACUUUUUAUGCCCCUCCUGAUGCAACUUUCCCCAGAUUUAUCCGUGCUUGGGACCGACACUGAGAGCACACCACGACUGAACUGAAUGUGAUUAGGGCUUAAUUUUAGUUUUCUAAGCAUGAAGCAGUGCUGCUCUUGUAGCAAAACCUCUCUUGUGGCUUAUCCAAUAGCAUACAUUUAUGUAAAUUAUUUAGUUGAAGCCAGCUUAUUGGACUGGAGACUAGCUACAAGGCUAAAGGCAUUAAGUCAGAAAGGCAAUAGUGUUCACAGACUUAAUGCCUGCAGUAUGAUUAGAGAACUGAUGACAUUGUUUAAAGAAAAGUUGACAACAAAAACAAUGUUUAAUGAUGAUUAGACAAAGAAAUACUAUUCUCGACUCAAAACUGUUGUAUAUCAUCUGUUCAAAGUUGAUGGCACAAGUCAAAGGUGGUAAAGCAUUAUUUAUAGCUAUGUACUAUUCUUUAAUGGUUCAUCAUUAAAAGGUAACUGUUGUCACAA